UACGUAGGUAGCAAGCGUUGUUCGGAGUUACUGGGUGUAAAGGGCGCGUAGGCGGAUUAACAAGUCAGUGGUGAAAUCCUACAGCUUAACUGUAGAACUGCCUUUGAAACUGUUAAUCUUGAGUACGGAAGAGAGAAGCGGAAUUCCAGGUGUAGUGGUGAAAUACGUAGAUAUCUGGAAGAACACCAGUUGCGAAGGCGGCUUCUUGGUCCGUUACUAACGCUGAGGCGCGAAAGCGUGGGGAGCAAACAGG
rnacentral:rRNA from 1 species